rnacentral:rRNA from 1 species
AUUGAACGCUGGCGGCAGGCCUAACACAUGCAAGUCGAACGGUAGCACAGAGGAGCUUGCUCCUUGGGUGACGAGUGGCGGACGGGUGAGUAAUGUCUGGGAAACUGCCCGAUGGAGGGGGAUAACUGCUGGAAACGGUAGCUAAUACCGCAUAACGUCGCAAGACCAAAGAGGGGGACCUUCGGGCCUCUUGCCAUCGGAUGUGCCCAGAUGGGAUUAGCUAGUAGGUGGGGUAACGGCUCACCUAGGCGACGAUCCCUAGCUGGUCUGAGAGGAUGACCAGCCACACUGGAACUGAGACACGGUCCAGACUCCUACGGGAGGCAGCAGUGGGGAAUAUUGCACAAUGGGCGCAAGCCUGAUGCAGCCAUGCCGCGUGUAUGAAGAAGGCCUUCGGGUUGUAAAGUACUUUCAGCGAGGAGGAAGGCGUUGUGGUUAAUAACCGCAACGAUUGACGUUACUCGCAGAAGAAGCACCGGCUAACUCCGUGCCAGCCGCCGCGGUAAAAGGG